rnacentral:sRNA from 1 species
UUAAAUCUAUGGAUGUGAUAAAUUCUAGCCCAGAGUGGGCAAUUUGUCCAAUGUUUGCAUUGUUAGAUGAUGUGUUAACGAUAAUUUGGUUAAAUAGUUCUAGAGAUGAAAUGAAGAAUAUAUUAGGAAUUUUCUCAAAGCAUUCGUGAUUUUCAGAGUGCGUAAUUAGUUCCAUGAUAUAUUUAACUAGACGGGAUGACCAAAUUAGUGAAUAUUUAUCAAAUAGAUUAAUUAUAGUUUUUUUAUUAGGGCGAAUAGUUGAUUGAGUAUUACUUUGUGUAUUUGCCAUGUUUUGGCAUGCAGAUGUCAGAGAAUUUAGUAUGAGGAUCCUGAAAUCCAUUGGAAUCCCGUUGUUCAUAUUGCAUGAAUAGUUAAUCAUUUCCACUGAAACUUUAUCUGUCUUAUACUGAAUUAGUUUUGAAAAAAUUAUGAGUACAAGUAUCUUUUGAUCUUUUUCUUUUAAUGAAAUUAACUUAUCAAUAAGAGGAAGAAUUAGGUGGUCAUAAUUAGAAUCAUCCUUUUCGAUAUUUUCAG